UAAAACACGCUUAACUGCUAUUUGCAAGAUUAGCUUCCUGUGCCAGCUGACAGCCAACUAUUUAGUGAUAAGUAAAUACACGACCAGUUUACACGUCAUUAGGGUGGUAUUUGGGAUCGUACGGCCGGACAAGAGAGUGCAGCGUGCGGUCGAGACAGGCGACGGCGAUACUUCGUUUGAUGUCAUGUUUCGUAUGCUUGCUGUGAAAGUCAAAGGUGGGUUUCGGUCGACAGGAGAUUCAACCGGUAAAAGUUUGGCUAGACAGAGAAAAAGGUUUGGAUUCCAUGCUGCUCCAGUGCAGGUUGAUGGAGACACAUAUGGCAAAAUUUAAAUCGACACAUGCUUGUUAAUCGCGACUGCCUCAUUGGUCUAGUGGCUGCGCCAGCUGCUAAUGGCGCAGAAGCAGGAGUUCGAGUCGGCUGACAUCAAUCACGAUUCCUUUCACCGCCAAAAACGAGAAUAUUAUAAAUAUGCAAACUAAACAAAUAAAAACUCAGUAGGGUUUGUCCGGUUGAACCCGCGAUCUUUGAUUAAAAUCAGCGUAUUUUAUCUUUUCGGUCUCGGCACUUAUCUAAUGUAUCUUAUCUCAAAAAAAGCUUGUAAAAUAUUGUUUGCACAUUAUUGUUAGAUCUUCUUUGUAAUUAUAUUGGGUAAUGUUAUUUUUGCAAAACAUAUGAUACUUUCUAGUAAGCAGGUAGAACUGAUAAUUCGCACUAUUAACAUAGAAACUGCUGUUAAAGAUUCACGAUUAUUUUAAUUAACCUUUAAACUAAAUGUAAAUUAGAUAAACUUUGUACCUUAAAGUUAGGGGUCCCUUAACAGUUUUAAUAUAUGUAAGCUAUUGAUUUAAUAAUAAGAAUAUAAUGAAGCCAUCAAAUAUCAAUAUAGUUAUGUAUAAUAAAAUAAUGAAACUCAAAAAGGACGGACGCUAAUGAACUGAAACAUUUCUAGUUAAUUAUUAUCAGUUUUUAUAUGAUACGAACGCCUCUUAAUGUAAUGUUCUUGUAAAUUGUACAAUAAAAUUUAUAAUUUUUGUUCACAAUCUCAUUACAACGUCAUUCAUGUUGACUAUACAAUGUAACGCAACCGACAUUUCACAGAUGUACGUCAAUAGAUUGUUAAAGUAUGAUUUACCUGUUCUUAAAACUGCUACCGAUUAUCGGUGGUCCGCAUGUGGCCCGCAGGUCGCGUACGCGACCCCCGUGAAGGAGAAUCUACAUUGCAAGUAACUCUAACUGUUUGUUACACUUUUGUUACGAUUUUGAUGAUACUUGGUAUGAACCGAGCUUGAACCUCAAGGAAGGUCAUAGUCAACUAGAUUCCAAAUCUGCGUGUCUUAUAUGAAGGAAGUGACAUUUAUAACUCUUGAUAUAUAUAAGAAUAAGAUACAUUAUGUCCUGAUAAAUGCAGUGGGCGACAGUGUGGCGGCUGAUUUAUGCUCGCUGAUUGUAGCGCGUUUUUGAUGAAUUGAUAAAGAAAUAUAAAUAGUUACAAACCUU